rnacentral:rRNA from 1 species
GGUGAACGCUGGCGGUAUGCCUAACACAUGCAAGUCGAACGGCAGCACAGGAAGAGCUUGCUCUUACGGUUGGCGAGUGGCGGACGGGUGACGAAUGGAUAGGAAUCUACUUUGUCGUGGGUGACUAUGUAGGGCAACUGAUGCUAAUGCAGCAUACGAUCUACGGCAGGAAGCAGGAGAGCUUGGCACCUUUGGUGAUACAAUUAGCCGAUGUCGGAUUAGCUAGUUGGCGGGGUAAAGGCCCACCAAGGCGACGAUCCGUAGCUGGUCUGAGAGGAUGAUCAGCCACACUGGAACUGAGACACGGUCCAGACUCCUACGGGAGGCGGCAGUGGGGAAUAUUGGACAAUGGGCGCAAGCCUGAUCCAGCAAUACCGCGUGGGUGAAGAAGGCCUUCGGGUUGUAAAGCCCUUUUGUUGGGAAAGAAAAGCAGCAGGUUAAUACCCCGCUGUUCUGACGGUACCCAAAGAAUAAGCACCGGCUAACUUCGUG